GGGAGGGAGGAGAAAAAAAAUGAGUUUAAAUGACCCGAAAACUCAAGGUGUAUGGAAUCAUCUUACCCAGCAUAUGAAAAAAGAUCAGGCUUAUAUUAAAACCCUAGUAUAGCUUUGGAGAAAAACCAGCAACUGUUUAUUAUCCAGUUAGAAUCAUAAUUUGGCCCAUUUAUUUAGCACUACAAGUAGCAAUGCACCAAAAAGCUCUCCACUGUCCAUAUCAUGUAAUUCUAAGUUACUACAGGAAAUGGAAUUAAUAAACACAGCUAAUUAGAGUCCCUCCCCUCCGCUCAAUGGAGAACAUCUGUCUGCCUAUGAAAGGAUGGUGGCAAGACUGAGUGGACUUUGAGUUCCACACCAUGUUGACCACAAAUGCCCCUACACCAACUUGCCUUUUCAUCACACCGUCUGGGGAAACGAACCA
rnacentral:lncRNA from 10 species